rnacentral:rRNA from 1 species
UAGGGAAUCUUCCGCAAUGGGCGAAAGCCUGACGGAGCAACGCCGCGUGAGUGAUGAAGGUCUUCGGAUCGUAAAACUCUGUUAUUAGGGAAGAACAAAUGUGUAAGUAACUAUGCACGUCUUGACGGUACCUAAUCAGAAAGCCACGGCUAACUACGUGCCAGCAGCCGCGGUAAUACGUAGGUGGCAAGCGUUAUCCGGAAUUAUUGGGCGUAAAGCGCGCGUAGGCGGUUUUUUAAGUCUGAUGUGAAAGCCCACGGCUCAACCGUGGGGGGUCAUUGGAAACUGGAAAACUUGAGUGCAGAAGAGGAAAGUGGAAUUCCAUGUGUAGCGGUGAAAAGCGCAGAGAUAUGGAGGAACACCAGUGGCGAAGGCGACUUUCUGGUCUGUAACUGACGCUGAUGUGCGAAAGCGUGGGGAUCAAACAGG